ensembl:snRNA U6 U6 spliceosomal RNA
GUGCAACACAUAUACUAAUGGGAAUACAGAGAUUAGUACUGCCCCUGCACAAAGAUGACAUGCCAGUUCGUGAAGCUUUCCACAUUUCU